rnacentral:rRNA from 1 species
CCAGCUCCAAUAGCGUAUACUAAAGUUGUUGCAGUUAAAAAGCUCGUAGUUGAAUUUCUGACUUUGAGGCGCGGUCGGCCCCGUGUGGGUUUGUACCUGCGAAUCGAGGUCAUCCUCGAGGAAUGCGUAUCUGUCAUUCAGUUGAUGGGUACGAGUACCUCGUCAUUUACUGUGAGCAAAAUAGAGUGUUCAAAGCAGGCUUACGCCGUUGAAUACAUUAGCAUGGAAUAAUAAGAUAGGACCUUGGUCUAUUUUGUUGGUUAGUACUCCAAGGUAAUGAUUAAUAGGGACAGUUGGGGGUAUUCGUAUUCAAUUGUCAGAGGUGAAAUUCUUGGAUUUAUGGAAGACGAACUACUGCGAAAGCAUUUACCAAGGAUGUUUUCA